rnacentral:rRNA from 1 species
GACGAACGCUGGCGGCGUGCCUAAUACAUGCAAGUCGAGCGAAGCGACGGAUGGGUGAGUAACGCGUGGGUAACCUGCCCUUUAGUCUGGGAUACCAUUUGGAAACAGUUGCUCCUCACGGUUACUAAAGGAUGGACCAUGGAUGCAUUAGCUAGUUGGUAAGGUAACGGCUUACCAAGGCGAUGAUGCAUAGCCGAGUGUAGAGACUGAUCGGCCACAUUGGGACUGAGACACGGCCCAAACUCCUACGGGAGGCAGCAGUAGGGAAUCUUCCACAAUGGAUGAAAGUCUGAUGGAGCAACGCCGCGUGAGUGAAGAAGGUUUUCGGAUCGUAAAGCUCUGUUGUUGGUGAAGCGGUAAUCAACCAGAAAGUCACGGCUAACUACGUGCCAGCAGCCGCGGUAAUUC